AAAUCAACGUGUGCGGACAGAGUUGCAGCACGGGGACCUUCCCGCACCCCUGCCAAAUCAGUGGUAGUAAGUUUACUGGAGAGAGAGGAUCGGGAUACGUUCAUCUGAGAGCAGCUCUUGGUUCUUCUUUCUCUGGGCCUGACCAUACGACUUUCUUCACAAGCUGAGUGUUAACUGUGAGAAGAAAGGCUGCGAAGUGCGAGGUUCAGAUAAGUGCCUGUGUGCCUUACUAUCAUGUGGCUGUCACGAAAUGAAUACGAAGGGCUGUUCAGGUUUUUUUACCCUCCUCUCCUCUUCCAUAUGGGGAAGAAUAAAGUGAAGAAACAACAUUUUCAGAGAAGAAAGACUUGGAAAGAGUUGCUGUUUUCUGGGAGUCUGCUACAGCUGUUAAUUUGUGGAAAACCUCAGUGGAAAAUAAUGUUGAUGCAGCUGUGGAAGGCUCUGAUGUUCAUUUUUUUAAACGUGGAAUUGUCGUCAUUCAAUCAAGCUUAAGCAUCGUGGAGCUGUGAUGUUGUUUGUCUUUGGCUGUUAGAUGUUGGCGGGCGAGCCUGAGAUGGGCUGAGAUGUUGUUUGGGAAAGAAGAAAAGGCUCCCUCCCUUCUUCCUUGCCUCCUUCACAGAAAUGCACACAGACCCAAAAUCCCAUCCAAAAAGGCAGGGACUCUGAGAAAAUUUGGAGCUGGACUUAAACAUUGUGGGCUGGGCCCCUUGUGCCUCUCCAGAGCACACAUACUCUUCUCUUCCUGUAGACUUUGUUCCUCUCCAGCAUUUGUCAUGCAUAGUUGGUGGCAUAUCAAGAUCUUGAGCACUGUACCGAGUGCAGGAACCUCUUUUUCUUGGAUGGACAUUUUGUUUGUGGAGAAUACAGCAUGGUGCUUAGUUGUCUGGGCAGAAAUGAACAUUGAGGAAAAUCUCAGCUAUGUGACAUCAGUUAGAUCAAAGAUUAGUUUUCCAGUAGAAAUGUCCAAUUACUCAAAUGUCUCUAGUAGACGAAAGAGCUUUUGACAAUCUGUUUUGCUGAAAAAACUCCAAUUCAUUUGGCAUGGAUUAGAUGACCUAUUAGAGAUUAGAAAAGGGGAAAAGGGUUUCUAAUUAAUGUCAGCCCAGCUGUUAGCUGGGGAAGUGUCAGUGAGUGGUAGCACAAGGCGACUCCUUCAGAUAUUUCUGUGAUUACUGUUCAUGUGUAUAUUGCAACGUGGACCUGUAGCUUUCUGCAUAGUGCAUUGCACAAGUUCCCUGUUCCCAGGUAGAGCAUUAGCGUGCACUGGACCAGCUGCUGUGUCUUGGCUCUGCCUCCUUUCCCAAGACAGGCUUUUAUGAAUGGGUAAGCCCCAUUUCUUUUUCCAGAGCUACCCUGUCACAUAAUGAGUGAUUCACUCACCUCCUUAUCUCUGGGCCAUAUGACUUACUCUGAUUGCAUCUUCCUCGCCAACUUGGCUAAGUAUCUUGUUUCUUUCCCCGAGGGCAAAUUAGGGCAUAAUCCUUAGAGUUUCCCCACAGCAUCUGGAAAGAAGAGGAAAACCAGUGAUGGGCCAGAAAGAGGCAGGCAGAGAAAGAUGAAAGAAUUUGGAGGUGGGAAGUAUUCGCUCUUGGAAUGAAGCUUCCUUCUGGAUGGCCUAAGGCAGAGCAAUUUACUCUUUUCUGCAACUUGCAGAAUGGCCCAGCCCCUGCUCUUAGAGGUAAACAUUUCAAAGGUGCCUGAGGGGCCCCCUAUUUAUAUUUUUAUAAGCUACUUGGUCUCCUUUGAGUCUCAGGCUGUAUCCCCAUUGCCAAUAUUGGAGCUAGCCUGAAGUGAGGUAGUGUCUUGCGGAGAUACCUGAGCUAGGAUGAAGAAGUUUGGCUGCUAGAAGUACUUUACCCACAGCAGUGCAUUUGUCAGAGCAUUAUACUUGCCUGCUGCUGUACCUUAUGCCAUACCAAGUCCCGUUUAAAGCUGUCUCUGGCCUACACUUGGGACUGUCUGUGCAGCAAAAGCUUUUGCUGCAGUCCUGGCUUCUCUGCAGCUGCCGGCUGAGGCUCAAGCACCUAAAUGCCAGAAUCAGGGUAGAGCAUGGUGUUUGGGAGCUGGACUCACGCCGGUGCUUUGUAAAGGUUUUUGUAGGGCUGAACCCACAUUCACUAUUAGCAUUAUUAAAUGCUUUCCUGUUUUUCUCUGUCCCCUUGAACUCACACUGCAACCCUAACCAACUAUCGUGUUUUGUUUUUAAUGACAGAGCAAAGGUGCCAAAAUAUUUCAGUAGCUCCCUUAGGAACAUCUGCAACUUCUUUAGCUAGUAUUUUCACAGCUGGCUAUAACUUUAUUUUAUUUUUGAAUGCUAAUAGUAGUGAACCUGGAAUCCUGAAGGAGAACAAUGGCUAAUUUCCCUUGUAUGAGGAUUACAAAAAGCUAUGCUAGCACCUUUGAAUAAAUGUCCAGGAACAGAGCUAAGGGCAAGUUUGUCGUUUGAGAGACAAAGAUUCUAAGCUCCAGACAGAGCUUAGACUGGCCUUCAGACUUGGGAUAAACUGUGUUUGGAGCCACCAGGAUCAAAACAUACAGACAACUCGAAUGACAGAGCAGCUGCUGCUGCUGCUGCUGAGGCUCAUGCUGCCCGAGCGGCAGGAGUGCCAUCUGAUCGCUGCCUCCAGUGCAGUUUCUGUCAUCUUCAGUGAAAACAGGAAGAGUAAAAUCUCACACCUCUAAUGUGAUACUGAGGUCUUGGAACAGGAAUUAGGUCUAAGAAUUUGAACUUCCACCCAGCAAAAAUUCUGCAAACCUUUAAUUACUGCUCUUAUUUAUUACCUGCUAGCUAUGCUUAAUUGGUCUAACAAUGAAAAUAAGCUGAAGGUACUGAAUCAUUGUAUCAACGUAUCACUCAUCAUCUUUGUGCUGCACCUCUUCACUCCCUAUACUGAGCUAGCGAAGUAAGAAAAAACCAAAAAGCAAGCUGGAAAGCUUCCAAUCUUAUUUAACCACUAACAAAUCUAUUCAAACCAAAGAAGUUUUAGACUGAGCUCUCUACCCAAAUGUUUUUUUUUGUCCUACUGUGGCAUAGUCUUCAACUUCUGCUGGUGUGGAGUCCGUACCUUACCUGACACUGAGAACUACAGCAUCAGGUACCACUUCAGAGCAUGGCCCCCACCCAUCCAUAACAUCUGCGCCCUGACCCAGGCAGCGACUAACAGGCUGCACUCGCUUUCUUGAGGGCAAAAUGGGGGGGGGGGAGAGGAGGAGGCAGGUCUG